ensembl:lncRNA
GCGAAGAUGGGUAAUGCUUCUAGUAACAAAACAUAUGGCCAUCUUUCAAGGACUGAAAUGAGGCUUGUUAUUUUGUCUCACAGCUGGCUGAGGAAUUGAAGUCAAGGAGAGAUUGGUGCCGUCCAUCGCAGGCCUAAAUCUUAAGCAGUCCUUUCCCUGAUGACCAAGUCAAAAUGUCUGCUGGGACUUAAUGUACAGACCUCCAGACAUGAUGGGCAACGACUUGAGAGGAGAAGCGAGCGAUGUGAAAGAAGAGUCAAAUGAGGGAUCUACAGUAAGCAUUGGCCCAGUAUACAGUAGCAAUGCUGUGAAAAAUAAAAAUACGUGUAGUUCAAUAUAUACUUUACAUUUUUGUUGUAUCCUUCAGGCUGAACUCCUUAAUUAAUUACAUAUUUGACCAUUGGUACACAACAGAAAGAGGUGAUUCUUACCAUCAAGGUAUUGCUCUGUUUGAUCCUUUACUUUCACAUCCAGUUAGAAAUACUAAGCAGUUCCCUUAACCGUCCAUUGAUGUCUUUUUGUCUUUCUUUCCGUCCACAGGUGAGAUUUCCCUGUAGCAUUACAAAAAAAAAUUCCAAAUAUUACAUAUGUAAGUUGUAAAGCUUGCAACCCAGAUACAAGCUCUCCGGUGUGAGGAUGUUGAACAGAUUUAAAGUCAUGACCUGCAGGCUUACACUCCUAUUACCGACCUUUAAAACCAGGACCCACUUUUAUGCUCCAAGUCAGACGGAAGACAAUAAACCGUGUGAGUAUCUUCACGCCAACGCUUUGUCUUGUCUGUGCUGGGAUCGUGAAAACUGGCUCAACAGGCCAAGGGAGUUUUCCAAUUGUGUUAGGAUGUAUUCAGUUCUUUCAGUUACUGUGCUUUUCACAGUCACACAUUUGCAUACUGAGUGACGCUGGCUGAAGAAAUGUUUGACUUAAAAAAACCAAUUUGCUUGUUGAGCGUCUUGCAGAGAUUUAGAUCACAAAGAGAUGGAUGACACUGUUGUGGCUGUGUUGUGAAUGUGCAGCUGGAGUCACCAAAUCAACAGGAUCAUUGCGCACACUAAGCAUUGUCCACGACUCCAUCUCUGCAAGCUACCUAAUCCUUUGUUGUGCUUUCCACUUCAUGUGCGAGGUGCACAUUAACAUGUUUGACAUUUGACCUGUCUCGGGAUGGAGAGUUGAAAAACAUACUUUAAGCAUACUGGUUUAGCCUUGUGUAGUUGAUUGAUUCUGGGUGGCUCUUUGAUGCAGCUUCUCCACCGAAAAGAACUUGGGACUUAAAAUUGGUCAUCCAAAAUGCUCAAGCCUAC